GGGGUCGCAAUGGUUUCGACGGGGGUUUUGAAGUCAGAGGAGCGAGCAGCGGCGGGCACCGCUUUAUCAAGCCUAACUUUAAAAUUAAACGCUAACGAUAAUUUAGCUUACGCUGCCUAAUUAAAGGCGGCCGUUCUUACCUGAAGGACCACGGUCGGGAUAAGAGCGUCAUCGAGUGGUGAACGUGAGUGUGCAAAGCUUUGAGCACACCAUGAACAAUGAAGCUACUGAGCAUUAAAGCUUGUUUGCGGGCUUUAAUGUAAGGGAAUGCAGACCACAAACUGCGCUCGGAGAGCCUCCGAUGGAUGAAUUUUCGGACAGGAGUUCGAUUCUCCUCGACUCCACCA
rnacentral:tmRNA from 1 species